rnacentral:lncRNA from 1 species
UUCAUUGGUCUGGUAUUUCUCUUCUUUUUUCCUCCUUAGCUCGGUUCAUUCACUCUCUUCAUACUAUCAUCAUAAUAUAUGCUUACAUUUAGUGCAUAGCUCCCAAUGUUGAAUCUAGUGAUUGAAGGAUGAAUUUGAUGAUUUUUUUACCAUGAUGUCGGCAUGGGUAUGGCCGGAAUGGCUGGUGCUGCAAUGUGUGUCCUUCUAGGUUUGGAGGUUUUAAGGGCUCGUGGGUAGUAUGAUGGUGGGAUGAUGCUGGUAUCGUUGGUGGCCAAGUUCGAUGGCUUAAGUGGCGGCACGUUGAAGUUAUUGGUGGUUGAAUGUGGGGAUGAAGAUGAAGUGGCGUGGGUG